rnacentral:lncRNA from 1 species
GAAAAUGUCUUAAGCUUUAAGCAUUAUAGAUCCCUUACGAAUUGAGUUCAAUCCCACUUUAAAGCAAAGCAUAAGAAAGAAAUCCUAUGUAUUGUUCAAUCCUUUUUAUAUCAAUAGAAAUUUGUAGAAAAAACAACCACCGACAAAUUUUUUAUUAAACUGGAUGAUCCAACUAAUAGACUAUCAAUUUUCUGAAAAAUAAGCUGAAUUUUCAUAAACCAGUUUUAUAAAAGAUGUACCAAGUUUCCAUAUGUUUCUCUCAAUUUCAACAGACAAAAUAUACUAAAUUUCAACCAAUCCCAAACUACAAUAUAAAUUGAAAAGUUUGUCAAUCCUUAAAAAAUUGAACGUUUCCCAUUCAUAUAAUAGAAAAAAAUCAAUAACCAUCAUCCUACUACAAAAUCGGCCAUUCCAUUUCCUUAACUAACAAAUUCAACAAUUGAAAUCAUAAAUAAUACAAGAUUGAAACCAUAAAACAUGCAUACCAAAAUCCAAAUUCUAAAAUCACCACCCAAAGCAAAGGACAAACAAACUGAAUCCAACCACAACCACAUGCAUCUACCCCAUACAUAUAUAGAUAGAGAGAGAGGGUACAAAGCAAGAUUUUUGUUUAUUGAACCAUCAUAUAUUAAUAUUAAUUAAUCCAUCAAUUUUAGCAUCUCAUAUUUUAACAGCCACACCAUGAGUCUUAAGGAUCUCGUAACUAUGAGUAGAUUGUCUCACCAACAGAUAGCUAAUAAAAACAAGAAACAAGUACAAGGUUUAUCACCAUUUCUAUAGAUUGCUGACCAUACUAUUAUUAUUGGCCACCUUAUUCCUCUUCUUCUGCUUCUUCCAGCCAAUUCACAAAUGGCUCCAGGGCCUUCGCAAAGGUUUGCUUGCCAUCAUUUACGAUAUAUUUUAAAAGAUAAUAUAUAUAAAUAACUGGAAUAAUAUGGACAAGGAAAAUAAAAUUCAACAGCAAUAAGAAACAACAAUAAAGCUUGGACUAGAGAAUAAGAAUGAGCAAAAGGCAGUAAGAAAAAUGGUUAUUUAGCAGUUUACUCACACAGAUAUAAGCACAUGCAGCAAUCUCCUAAGCAAUAUUUAUGACCUCAACAAUGGGGUUGGAUGAUAUAACAAGAAAACUAAUGACAUAAUAAGAAAACUGAACCUUCAUUUACUUAUGGUUGCGGCAGCAGAGAGCGACGGCGACGCAGCAGUGAGGACGGCGGACGGCAAUGAGUAUGUGGUCGGGUCGCCUCAGGAGCUUCGAAUGCUUAGGGAUUUUGGGGAAAAUUUAGGGAUUAGGGGAAAUGUAAUGAAUUGG